UCACUCUUCACACGCGGAACCAUUGGGGCUGUGGAAACCUCCUUGAUUAGUGGUAGAAGCGCUUCCGCAUUCAACACAUGCAUAUGCCCCUGUCCGUGGAGGUUACUGUGAACAAAACAGCGUGUCCAAAGCAACCACAUGUCUGGCUGAAUGAUCUAGCAUGGAAUAACAAGGCAUCGACCACUGGAGUCAGCCUUUUUGUUGGUUUUACAUGACCCAGUUGGGCAAUGCAGGGCUUGUGCUUCAUUGAGGUUCUUAGUCAGCUCUACCGAACUGUCUUCCCUCAGUUGGACCUUGUUCCCUAUCGGGAUCAAUGGAAGCCAUCGGGGUGGUAUGUAUUCCGACGUGAGCGGUGAAAUGCUUAGACCGUUGGAAGACAAACGACAGCGAAGGCAUUCCGCCAGAAUGUUUUCAUUAAUCAAGAACGAGAGUGUGGGGAUCGAAGAUGAUCAGAUACCAUCGUAGUCCAUUACCGUAAACUAUGCCAACUCGGCAUUGGGAGUCUGUUCACUUUGAAGACUCUCCCAGCAUCAUCCCCCAAUAACGAGAAAUCCAAGUCUAUGGGUUCAGGGGGGAGUACAGUCGCAAGGCUGAAACUUAAAGGAAUUGACGGAAUGACACCACAAGGCGUGGAGUAUGCGGCUUAAUUUGACCCAACACGGAGAAGCUUACCAGGUCAGACACAGUAAGGAUUGACAGAUUGAGAGCUCUUUCUUGAUCCUAUGGAUGGUGGUGCAUGGCCGUUUCUGGUUCGUGGAGUGAUCUGUCUGCUUAAUUGCGAUAACGAACGAGAUCUCUACCUCUAAAUAGGCGCCGGUCUCGCAUGUAAGUAGGGAUGUGUUGGGGGCCUUCGUGUCCCCUCAUGUCCUGAGAGUGCCGGGAUCGCUUCUUAGACGGACUGUGCAUGUCUUUAAUGCACGGAAGAGGGAGUCAAUAGCAGGUCUGUGAUGCUCCUAGAUGUUCUGGGCUGCACGCGCACUACACUGGCACAGUAAACGAGUUGCACCUGCUUCGGCAGUCCUGCUUAGAAGUGAGCGUGGGAAAUCUUAGAGAACUGUGCCGUGCUGGGGAUAGAUGAUUGCGAUUAUUUGUCUUGAACGAGGAAUGCCUAGUAGAGGUACUUCAUCAGAGUACCUUGAUUGUGUCCCUGCCAUUUGUACACACCGCCCGUCGUUGCUACCGAUUGGCUGUAAAAUAGAGGCCUUAAGAGUCGCUUCCGCAAAGCUUUGCUUUUGAGGUUGUGACAAAUCUGGCCAAUAUUUCAUUGCUAGAGGAAGCAAAAGUCGUAACAAGG
rnacentral:rRNA from 1 species